AAAGAUUAAGCCAUGCAUGUCUAAGUAUAAGCACUUUAUACUGUGAAACUGUGAAUGGCUCAUUAAAUCAGUUAUCGUUUAUUUGAUAGUACCUUGCUACAUGGAUACCUGUGGUAAUUCUAGAGCUAAUACAUGCUAAAAACCCCGACUUCAGGAAGGGGUGUAUUUAUUAGAUAAAAAACCAACGCCCUUCGGGGCUCCUUGGUGAAUCAUAAUAACUUAACGAAUCGCAUGGCCUUGCGCCGGCGAUGGUUCAUUCAAAUUUCUGCCCUAUCAACUUUCGAUGGUAGGAUAGUGGCCUACCAUGGUUU
rnacentral:rRNA from 1 species